UGCAGUCGAACGAAGUAGCAAUACUUAGUGGCGAACGGGUGAGUAUAAUGUGGGUAUCUGCCCUUUGGUUUGGAAUAACACGAGGAAACUUGUGCUAAUACCAGAUAAGCCUUCACAGGGAAAGCUUUAGCGCCGAAGGAUGAGCCCGCACUUGAUUAGCUAGUUGGUGAGGUAAUAGCUCACCAAGGCAACGAUCAAUAGCUGUUCUUAGAGGAAGACCAGCCACAUUGGGACUGAGACACGGCCCAAACUCCUACGGGAGGCAGCAGUGGGGAAUCUUGCACAAUGGGGGAAACCCUGAUGCAGCGAUGCCGCGUGAGUGAAGAAGGCCCUUGGGUUGUAAAGCUCUUUCGUCGGGGAAGAAAAUGACUGUACCCGAAUAAGAAGGUCCGGCUAACUUCGUGCCAGCAGCCGCGGUAAUACGAAGGGACCUAGCGUAGUUCGGAAUUACUGGGCUUAAAGAGCUCGUAGGUGGUUAAGAAAGUUGGUGGUGAAAUCCCAAGGCUUAACCUUGGAACUGCCACCAAAACUUUUUGACUAGAGUAUGAUAGAGGUAAGUGGAAUUUCUAGUGUAGAGGUGAAAUUCGUAGAUAUUAGAAAGAACACCAAUUGCGAAGGCAGCUUUCUGGAUCAUUACUGACACUGAGGAGCGAAAGCAUGGGUAGCGAAGAGGAUUAGAUACCCUCGUAGUCCAUGCUGUAAACGAUGUGUGCUAGACGUUGGAAACUUAGUUUUCAGUGUCGCAGCAAAAGCGUUAAGCACACCGCCUGGGGAGUACGACCGCAAGGUAAA
rnacentral:rRNA from 1 species